rnacentral:rRNA from 1 species
CCCUUAGAUGUCCUGGGCCGCACGCGCGCUACACUGACAGGUUCAACAAGCCUCCUAGUUCGACAGGAUUUGGGAAAUCUUUGAACGCAUGUCGUGAUAGGGAUAGAUCAUUGCAAUUAUUGAUCUUGAACGAGGAAUUCCUAGUAAACGCGAGUCAUCAGCUCGCAUUGAUUACGUCCCUGCCCUUUGUACACACCGCCCGUCGCACCUACCGAUUGAAUGUUUCGGUGAAGAUUCCGGAUAGGACUUUUUUGAUUUAUUUCAAUUUUGUCUUAAAAGCUAUCUAAACCUCAACAUUUAGAGGAAGGUGAAGUCGUAACA